ACGGAAAGCACGCCGUUUCUCGCACUUGAUAAUAGGCACUAUUCACCUGUUAUGCGUUUUGUGCUCUACUCCCCUGUUAUGCGUUUACCACACACCUAGAUGUAUCCCUCAUACGUGCAAGUGCGCGAAACGGCGUGCUUUCCGCUGGUAGAGUGUAUUACAUAAACCGUGAGGAAAAUCCAUACAGAAGCAGACUAUAGAAAUCGCUACCGUCGAAACGUGAAGUGAACAUGUAAUCGCUUUAAACUACAAGAGCUUCUCCCUUUGCUGAAAAAGGCUAAACGCAGAGGACUUAAGAGCUCGGGCGACAGGCGGUGAAGAAGGUGACCUCCUCAGGACUGCGGCGGCGAGGGUCAGUGAAAGAGACUUCAGAACAACAACAUUAUUUCUUCACCAAGGACCAUCGCUGUUGCGCUGUCCUUCUAGUUGUCGUAAGACAGUGAAGACGCUACGGCGAGAAGGAUGUACACGGAUGACAUCAUCGAGGCCGUCGGGGGCAUGUCCCGCUUCCAGAUCCUCAUGGUUGUCUUCAUAUUCGGUCCAAAGAUGCUGAUGGCCUGGGGGAUGUUGAUAAUGUCGUUUGCAGGGACUACUCCGGAUUGGUGGUGUCUCCCAGCUACAGCGCCCUCUGUUGAUGAGACCUACUACAUGAACAACGUCACAUUCAAAAUGUGUCCCACCUCGGAAAACAUCACCUGUCAGGUUGUGUACAGCCAGGAUAAAAACACUAUCGUCAGUGAGUGGGGUUUGAUUUGUGACCGCAAAGAGAUCAAUCCUCUCGUCACAUCAGUACAAAUGGCUGGAGUCUUUGUUGGGGCAUUGCUUGGCGGACAAUCUGCUGACGUCCUCGGUCGGAAGUGGACUUACUUCGUCUGUCUGGUCCUUCAAGGUGGGUUCAACCUGAUGGCAGCGUUCUCCGUCAACUGGCAGAUGUUUACAGUGUUGCGUUUUCUCAUCGGGAUGAUGACAGGCUCUCUUCUGGUGGUGUGCUACCCGUAUUUCAUUGAGUUCGUUGGAAAGAAAUGGCGAUCACUUGCAUCGGCAAUUCCAGUCUGGGUAACUGGUUUAUGUGCAUUUGCCUUGUCGAGCUGGUUGAGGCCCGACUGGUCUCAUCAACACAUCAUAUUGGCUGCCCUUCAUCUGCCCUUCUUUGCGGGAUGGUUCUUUGUCCCAGAGAGUCUGCACUGGUUGGCUGUCAAAGGGCGGACUGAUGAGGCUGAGAAGGUCGUGGAUCAGAUGAGUCGAUACAACAAGAGAGAGAAGCCCCAAAACACACUGCAGCUGCUGAAACAAGUUGCAGAAGAGGAGAAGAGUCUGAGAUCGUCUGGCAGCAAGUACACCUACCUGGACAUCUACCGGGGCUGGAGCAUCUGCUGGAAAUCUCUCAUCAUACAGUUCGUAUGGGCGUGUCUGUCGUUGGUGUACUAUGGGAUAUCGUUCGGUGCAGGAAGACUCGCAGGCAACCUGUAUCUGAACAUCUUCCUUCUGGGAGUGGUGGAAGUGCCAACUACAGUGCUGACUUUCUUCACAAACAACAAAUUUGGUAGAAAAUGGACAGCGGUUGGUUUCUUUGCUGUUGCCACUUCCGCUGCUUUUGGUGUUGCAAUCAUUGCGAAAACAGUCUCAAAAGACGAACAGGGAGUCAUCAUUAACGUCUUGGCUCUGGUGACCAAACUCGGUGUUGGUGGAGCUUGGGCUGCCUACGCGUUGUGGUCAAAUGAGACGUACCCUACUGUCAUAAGAAAUUUGGGUUACGGAGCAGCUAAUACAGCAGCCCGAGUUGGUGGCAUGAUCGCUCCAUACGUCUUUGCAGGGGUUUGUCCACAUGUGGUAAACGGCUAAGAUCUGCACCUCCUCGGGCUUUCCUCCCACAUUAAGCUGACGUUGUGACACAACUGGAAUACUGUUAAAAGCAGAAGUCACUCCCCUAAUUAUGAAGUGACAUUUUGUUUUAUGGCGAUGGUAACCUCGUGGAGCCUUUCGUCAUCGUUGGUUCGACCAUGGCCGUCUGUGGAGUGUUAUCUGUCGUAAUGAAGGACACGAAGGACCAGCCUCUGGCAGACACCAUGGGGAAUCAGAAGAAC
rnacentral:misc_RNA from 1 species